AGGGUAGUAGUUAAUAAUAACAGUUAAGUUGCAUUUAAAAAGUAUUGAAAGUCAUCAAUCUACCUUA
rnacentral:tRNA from 1 species